CCGCAUACACAUGAACCGAAUAACAUGCGAGCUUGCUGGCUUUUGAUUGCUUGCUUGUUUUAGAUAUGUUGAUCACAGCUGUCAUGUCAUAUUCUCAACCCAUGUGUAGCGCUCAUCUGCCAGGUUGUGAAACUGACUCACCUGAUAUGCCUACGACAUACCCGAAACAACCAUUAUGUUGCAAAACAGAGGCUUUUCAUACUUUUUACACUAAAUUGUGGACUGUUUUAGUAUCAGCGUAGUAUGAUAUUGAAUGCAUGUGAGCAGGGUAAGACGAAAGACAUCAUUAGAGCAGUUUCAAUGUGCAUCAGCCUCACAGUUCCUCAAGGAUUGCGUGCAUCUAGUCUAUAUAGGAUCAAUCCACCUACAGCAUCGGUAGGUUUUCAAGCGCCAGGAAUGGCAUCAGAUUGGAAGAUUAGAAAUUAGCUCAAACGAAUAAAUGUAAUUAAGUUAUGAAGCUGUUCUCGUCGCGAAUCAUCACGACAUUACCCUGUUGUCUACAGACGUGAACACCAAAAGGCACUGGCUGUCAAAGGCAACGCUCAAAUUAUCUUGGCUUCAAACGACAGCUGGUCAUAUCGAAGAACGGCUUUCAAACGCUACCCACGUAGCUGGCAAGCAGAAGGGUCACAUCGUCAACGCCGAGUGGCAAAUUAACUCUGUGGACCGAACUACUCAGGUUCUUCAGAGUUAUCUUCAGCUGGAGGGAUUCACGUCCUUCAACAGGGCCCGGCAGCACCGACAGCAGCUGUUCUCAACAAGCAGCCGCCUGAGAAAACUGAGCCGCGAGGCAGCUGCUCUAGCCGACAGUCACGUUGAAACUGCUGACACGCUCACCACCAUUGGCCAGACUGCGCUAAGCGAAGCAACUGCAGCGUACAACAUGUUAGCCACCCAGCUGACCGAAGACGGGCAGGCAUCUUCACCAGAUCUAGUUGAUCUGCGAGAAGCGUAUGGGGAGCUGACGUUGCUUAUGCAGCAAGUGCACGCGGGUUCGGCAGAGGCGUCAGCAGAAGCGGACUCCGUUCAACUGAAGUCGGUGCAAAGUCGCCAGCAUGCGCUGAAUCUAUCGUCUGCAGGGGCUUCCGGCGUCCUUCUGGAAAAGGCACUCUUCGCCGCCGAACAGAUUUCUUUAAUGAGUAAGAAUUUGUCCGAAGGUUACAAAAAUGUCGCAGGUAAGGAAGGUGAAAUAUUGAAGAAUUCUUCACUUGCGGAGACGAACUUGAAAAGGGCAGCUCUGGCAAGAGGAGAUAUUGAUGAACUCUGGAAUAGGGCGGACAGGGCGAACACCGCAACAUUGGCAGCCGUCGAGACAGCAGAAGAUGUUCUUUUGGGGGUGAAGGAUACAGCUAUGGACCUGAACGACUUGGAGGAGCGGGUGGCGCGGGGCAGCGCCGAGGCGGCGGCGGC